UCUUUCUUUGCUGGCGACCGGCGCACGGGUGAGUAACACGUAUCCAACCUGCCCCUUACUCGGGGAUAGCCUUUCGAAAGAAAGAUUAAUACCCGAUAGUAUAAUGAUUCCGCAUGGUUUCAUUAUUAAAGGAUUCCGGUAAAGGAUGGGGAUGCGUUCCAUUAGGUUGUUGGUGAGGUAACGGCUCACCAAGCCUUCGAUGGAUAGGGGUUCUGAGAGGAAGGUCCCCCACAUUGGAACUGAGACACGGUCCAA
rnacentral:rRNA from 1 species